ACGAACGCUGGCGGCGUGCCUAAUACAUGCAAGUAGAACGCUGAAGAGAGGAGCUUGCUCUUCUUGGAUGAGUUGCGAACGGGUGAGUAACGCGUAGGUAACCUGCCUUGUAGCGGGGGAUAACUAUUGGAAACGAUAGCUAAUACCGCAUAACAAUGGAUGACUCAUGUCAUUUAUUUGAAAGGGGCAAAUGCUCCACUACAAGAUGGACCUGCGUUGUAUUAGCUAGUAGGUGAGGUAACGGCUCACCUAGGCGACGAUACAUAGCCGACCUGAGAGGGUGAUCGGCCACACUGGGACUGAGACACGGCCCAGACUCCUACGGGAGGCAGCAGUAGGGAAUCUUCGGCAAUGGGGGCAACCCUGACCGAGCAACGCCGCGUGAGUGAAGAAGGUUUUCGGAUCGUAAAGCUCUGUUGUAAGUCAAGAACGAGUGUGAGAGUGGAAAGUUCACACUGUGACGGUAGCUUACCAGAAAGGGACGGCUAACUACGUGCCAGCAGCCGCGGUAAUACGUAGGUCCCGAGCGUUGUCCGGAUUUAUUGGGCGUAAAGCGAGCGCAGGCGGUUUGAUAAGUCUGAAGUUAAAGGCUGUGGCUCAACCAUAGUUCGCUUUGGAAACUGUCAAACUUGAGUGCAGAAGGGGAGAGUGGAAUUCCAUGUGUAGCGGUGAAAUGCGUAGAUAUAUGGAGGAACACCGGUGGCGAAAGCGGCUCUCUGGUCUGUAACUGACGCUGAGGCUCGAAAGCGUGGGGAGCGAACAGGAUUAGAUACCCUGGUAGUCCACGCCGUAAACGAUGAGUGCUAGGUGUUGGAUCCUUUCCGGGAUUCAGUGCCGCAGCUAACGCAUUAAGCACUCCGCCUGGGGAGUACGACCGCAAGGUUGAAACUCAAAGGAAUUGACGGGGGCCCGCACAAGCGGUGGAGCAUGUGGUUUAAUUCGAAGCAACGCGAAGGACCUUACCAGGUCUUGACAUCCCGAUGCUAUUUCUAGAGAUAGAAAGUUACUUCGGUACAUCGGUGACAGGUGGUGCAUGGUUGUCGUCAGCUCGUGUCGUGAGAUGUUGGGUUAAGUCCCGCAACGAGCGCAACCCCUAUUGUUAGUUGCCAUCAUUCAGUUGGGCACUCUAGCGAGACUGCCGGUAAUAAACCGGAGGAAGGUGGGGAUGACGUCAAAUCAUCAUGCCCCUUAUGACCUGGGCUACACACGUGCUACAAUGGUUGGUACAACGAGUUGCGAGUCGGUGACGGCAAGCUAAUCUCUUAAAGCCAAUCUCAGUUCGGAUUGUAGGCUGCAACUCGCCUACAUGAAGUCGGAAUCGCUAGUAAUCGCGGAUCAGCACGCCGCGGUGAAUACGUUCCCGGGCCUUGUACACACCGCCCGUCACACCACGAGAGUUUGUAACACCCGAAGUCGGUGAGGUAACCUUUUGGAGCCAGCCGCCUAAGGUGGGAUAGAUGAUUGGGGUG
rnacentral:rRNA from 1 species